rnacentral:tRNA from 1 species
GCCGAUGUGGUGAAAUGGUAGACACACUAGAUUCAAAAUCUGGCGCUCUCUGGGCAUGGCGGUUCGAGUCCGCCCAUCGGUACCA